CCUGCGCACGGUGUUACACCU
rnacentral:misc_RNA from 1 species